rnacentral:rRNA from 28 species
UGGACGACUCUCGGCAACGGAUAUCUCGGCUCUCGCAUCGAUGAAGAACGUAGCGAAAUGCGAUACCUGGUGUGAAUUGCAGAAUCCCGUGAACCAUCGAGUCUUUGAACGCAAGUUGCGCCCGAGGCCAUCCGGCUAAGGGCACGCCUGCCUGGGCGUCACGC